GGUAGUGAGUUAUCUCAAUUGAUUGUUCA
rnacentral:piRNA from 1 species